rnacentral:rRNA from 1 species
CCUACGGGAGGCAGCAGUGGGGAAUAUUGGGCAAUGGGCGCAAGCCUGACCCAGCAAUGCCGCGUGAAGGAAGAAGGCUUUCGGGUUGUAAACUUCUUUGACAGGGGAAGAGCAGAAGACGGUACCCUGAAAACAAGCCACGACUAACUACGUGCCAGCAGCCGCGGUAAUACGUAGGUGGCAAGCGUUGUCCGGAGUUACUGGGUGUAAAGGGCGUGUAGACGGGAAGGCAAGUCAGAUGUGAAAUCUGGAGGCUCAACCUCCAAAUUGCAUUUGAAACUGUUUUUCUUGAGUACUGGAGAGGCAGACGGAAGUCCUUGUGUAGCGGUGAAAUGCGUAGAUAGAAGGAGGAACACCAGUGGCGAAGGCGGUCUGCUGGACAGCAACUGACGGUGAGGCGCGAAAGCGUGGGGAGCAAACAGGAUUAGAUACCCGAGUAGUC